UGUUUUCAUGAGAGAUGAAUGUGUAACGUUACAGCGUCACAUAAAAAAGGUAUGAAAGAUUACUUAGCCCAGGUCCUUGAACACAACGGUAAAACAGAUCCUUCUCAAAACAAAGUCCCCUAAACAUUUCCUCGUUGUGCUCUGUUCAGUCAAGAUGUUCAUCGAUACUUCACUAGGAGGUAGUAGCCUGAAACAAAAUGUCCCCAGAAAAUCCAGCUCAUAUAGUGAGCCCUAAAGCUUGACAAUGUCUUCCCUUGUCUUCCUCAGACCUUACACCUCCUCCUAGUUUACUCUAUCUGAACAUACCAGACCUAUUGCUGUUCUCAGACACUAGAUGCUAAAAGUUUCACUUGUGGCUAGAAAGCAGACCAACACCUUUUUCUUCUUUGUGGAAGUUAUAAUUAAUGUUGUCAGGACAGAAAAUUAAAGUUUAGUUUCUUCACUGACCUACCAAAUUGUUUUUUGCAUCUAGUAGGCUCGGAUAUCAGAUUUAAUCAAGCAAGAGAACACAGGAAACGAGGUGUUUCAUAUAGAUAAGCAUAGGAAGUACUACAGAGAAAAAUGGUGCAGAAGGAAUAACAUAAUACUGACAUUCUGUCAUAGAAAAAUAUCAUCCAAUAAAAAAGCUAAUUGGAUAUCAACAUUUGGUAAAAUGCUACGAAACAACACUCUGGGUUAGAAAACCUAAGCAGAGUGCAUAUUGCUGUAGUGUGACAGCCUUAGAGAACACCCCACCAAUCAUCCCUCAGGCUCAGCAGCUGUGGACACCCACUCUGUGGCAUCUCAGUCAGCACUAAGUCAGCACUGAGCAAUGGUUUGCUGGAUUCCAGACCCCAGGACAACUGUGCACCAAUUAAAGAUUCAUCUCACUCUUAGCCCAAUUUUGGCCACCAUAAUAGCAGCUGGCAUAUACUUCAAAGUAAGAUUUUUUAAACCCCCUAGUGGUGAUGGGUGUUUCUGGGGGAGAAAGAAAUGGCAUUCACUACUGCAUCUAUACCCCAGAAAGCUAAGAGCAAAUAUUAUUACUUAUGGAGACUGCCUGUUUGGCUUAGCAGAAGGGCCUUCAAGAUACUGGCAGCUGGUGAAGGCCACACUCUGACUGUCCAGAACAAUAGUGGACCAGCAUCAGCUAUUGUUUAUUGUGGGUAUUUGCGUCACUUUUCCAAGCAAGUUAUUCUUACCCAUUGCUGAGCGAGCAUCUAAAACCUGCCUGGAAGCUGAACUCCCAGGUAAGGCAGGGACAUCGUCACUCUCCAGAAAUCCUUCAUACUGAGCAGGUAGCCCUUAUUAGAUCCCAGGCACAGGCAAGAUAAUACAACCUUCUAAAUGAAAAGAGUCCUUAAGAAAUGAAGAGAGUCCAUGCAGGUGGCUAACCAAGAUACGAACGAAGCCUCCCACAGAGCUGUUGGGGGAGCCUGUUUCUAGGCUCAUCGAAAGGAGGAGAGGGGAGAUAGCAGGGCCUGGGGCUGUCUGAUAAACCACAUCACGCAGAGUGGAUGACGUCUACAUUGAAAUGCCAGGGACACAGAUGCCAGCUCAUUAUCUGUGACCCCACGAUGCACCACAUGGUUUCUCGACAGGACUGGUGGUGCCUCAUAUUCCAGGGAGAGAAGCCCUGCUAUACGUGAGUCAGGCAGUGGAGCCCUGUCUUUCACUGAUCUGGUGUGUGAUCUACCUCCUUUGAUAAGGUUUGAUGCACCCACAUGUUCAAGUGCUCCUUAAUUUGUCCAGCUUCCCCUUCCGCCAGUACCCAGUUCCUUACUCAACUUGGACUUAUUGACUAAAUCCAGUGCCCUGCAAUAAAUCCUCGAAUUCUGGACCCUCUCCGCGAGCGAAGGCUCUCCUCGGCGCCGGCGAUGGUGUGGCAUUUGUCCCGGGUUUCGGCACCAAAUAUCGCGCGCCCAACGUCUCUCCAGCAAGAACGACGCGCGGACACCAGGAUCCUUCUGCAGCAAAGCGUUUAUUGCAUCUUGAAGAGGAGAGAGCGAGCCCCAGAGUGACACUGCUUAUAUACACCCUAGCGGAGUGGGCAAAGACCUGGCACGAAGGCACUCUUGCACAUGCGCACAGUUAACUUCCUGAAAGGAAGUCGGCUGGCGGGGUGGAGGCCAGCGCCAUCUUGUAAUGGUGAAAGCUAUCCCAGCUUUCCACGUGGGGUGCAGUGGAAGCCAGCGCCAUCUUGUGGUGGCGAAUGUUAUUGCGGCCCUCUACAAUCAGCCUCAAAAAUGAAUGCAUAUAUGUUUGGGAAGUCCUGGUGCUGUUUGUAUUUUGAUGCCAAUUUUGCUUCCCCAAGAGGGGCUACC